UACGUAGGGUACAAGCGUUAAUCGGAAUUACUGGGCGUAAAGCGUGCGCAGGCGGUGAUGUAAGACAGAUGUGAAAUCCCCGGGCUCAACCUGGGAACUGCAUUUGUGACUGCAUCGCUGGAGUACGGCAGAGGGGGAUGGAAUUCCGCGUGUAGCAGUGAAAUGCGUAGAUAUGCGGAGGAACACCGAUGGCGAAGGCAAUCCCCUGGGCCUGUACUGACGCUCAUGCACGAAAGCGUGGGGAGCAAACAGG
rnacentral:rRNA from 1 species